rnacentral:rRNA from 1 species
UACGAAGGGGGCUAGCGUUGCUCGGAAUCACUGGGCGUAAAGCGCACGUAGGCGGCUCGUUAAGUCGGGGUGGAAAUCCUGGAGCUCAACUCCAGAACUGCCCUCGAUACUGACGAGCUCGAGUCCGGGAGAGGUGAGUGGAACUGCGAGUGUAGAGGUGAAAUUCGUAGAUAUUCGCAAGAACACCAGUGGCGAAGGCGGCUCACUGGCCCGGUACUGACGCUGAGGUGCGAAAGCGUGGGGAGCAAACAGG